AGAGUUUGAUCCUGGCUCAGGAUGAACGCUGGCGGCGUGCCUAAUACAUGCAAGUCGAGCGAACGGACGAGAAGCUUGCUUCUCUGAUGUUAGCGGCGGACGGGUGAGUAACACGUGGAUAACCUACCUAUAAGACUGGGAUAACUUCGGGAAACCGGAGCUAAUACCGGAUAAUAUUUUGAACCGCAUGGUUCAAAAGUGAAAGACGGUCUUGCUGUCACUUAUAGAUGGAUCCGCGCUGCAUUAGCUAGUUGGUAAGGUAACGGCUUACCAAGGCAACGAUGCAUAGCCGACCUGAGAGGGUGAUCGGCCACACUGGAACUGAGACACGGUCCAGACUCCUACGGGAGGCAGCAGUAGGGAAUCUUCCGCAAUGGGCGAAAGCCUGACGGAGCAACGCCGCGUGAGUGAUGAAGGUCUUCGGAUCGUAAAACUCUGUUAUUAGGGAAGAACAUAUGUGUAAGUAACUGUGCACAUCUUGACGGUACCUAAUCAGAAAGCCACGGCUAACUACGUGCCAGCAGCCGCGGUAAUACGUAGGUGGCAAGCGUUAUCCGGAAUUAUUGGGCGUAAAGCGCGCGUAGGCGGUUUUUUAAGUCUGAUGUGAAAGCCCACGGCUCAACCGUGGAGGGUCAUUGGAAACUGGAAAACUUGAGUGCAGAAGAGGAAAGUGGAAUUCCAUGUGUAGCGGUGAAAUGCGCAGAGAUAUGGAGGAACACCAGUGGCGAAGGCGACUUUCUGGUCUGUAACUGACGCUGAUGUGCGAAAGCGUGGGGAUCAAACAGGAUUAGAUACCCUGGUAGUCCACGCCGUAAACGAUGAGUGCUAAGUGUUAGGGGGUUUCCGCCCCUUAGUGCUGCAGCNNNNNNAGAGCAUCUGACUUUUAAUCAGAGGGUCAGAGGUUCGAAUCCUCUAUGGCUCACCAUUUGCGGGUGUGGCGGAAUUGGCAGACGCACUAGACUUAGGAUCUAGCGCCUUACGGCGUGGGGGUUCGACUCCCUUCACCCGCAUAUGCAGAAGUAGUUCAGCGGUAGAAUACAACCUUGCCAAGGUUGGGGUCGCGGGUUCGAAUCCCGUCUUCUGCUCCAUUUUUAUAGUGCCGGGGUGGCGGAACUGGCAGACGCACAGGACUUAAAAUCCUGCGGUGAGUGAUCACCGUACCGGUUCGAUUCCGGUCCUCGGCACCAUUUUCAAUAAAAACAUAUGCGCCCGUAGCUCAAUUGGAUAGAGCGUUUGACUACGGAUCAAGAGGUUAUGGGUUCGACUCCUAUCGGGCGCGUUAAUUAUACGGGAAGUAGCUCAGCUU
rnacentral:rRNA from 1 species